GAAAGAAAGAGUUAGAGAGCUGCCACUACUGCCUCCAGCAACUGUUUCCCUGUCUCUUGCUUCUUAAUAACGAAGCCAGCAUUUCUUGGUUAUGUAGACACGCAGAGAAGCAACAUAUGCCAAACUAUUGGGGCAUUGUCCCCUAAAUAUGGAUUCUCAAACAUUUUGAAGCUGAAAACUGAAGUGUAUAAUCUGAUUGACAACAGCACCUCUAUCCACAAAUGAAUCCAAUGCUGCUGUAUCAGCCCUCCAAAGAAGAUUAAUCUGCAAAAAUGCUGACUGCUAACAGAAGAGCUACUAUGAUUCCUGUGGAAAGACAGAAGUUUAGAAUUCUCCAGGGACA
rnacentral:lncRNA from 1 species